CGGCGGACGGGUGAGUAACGCGUGAACAAUCUGUCCCGAACAGGGGGAUAACAGAUGGAAACAUCUGCUAAUACCGCAUAAGACCACGCACCCGCAUGGGUGUGGGGUAAAAGGAGCAAUCCGGUUUGGGGUGAGUUCGCGUCUGAUUAGCUAGUUGGCGGGGUAACGGCUCACCAAGGCGACGAUCAGUAGCCGACCUGAGAGGGUGAUCGGCCACACUGGAACUGAGAAACGGUCCAGAUUCCUACGGGAGGCAGCAGUGGGGAAUAUUGGGCAAUGGGCGAAAGCCUGACCCAGCAACGCCGCGUGAAGGAAGAAGGUUUUCGGAUUGUAAACUUCUGUCCUCAGGGAAGAAGAAAGUGACGGUACCUGAGGAGGAAGCCCCGGCUAACUACGUGCCAGCAGCCGCGGUAAUACGUAGGGGGCGAGCGUUGUCCGGAAUGACUGGGCGUAAAGGGCGCGUAGACGGCUGUCUAAGUCUGGAGUGAAAGUCCUGCUUUCAAGGUGGGAAUUGCUUUGGAGACUGGAUGGCUUGAGUGCGGAAGAGGUAAGUGGAAUUCCCAGUGUAGCGGUGAAAUGCGUAGAGAUUGGGAGGAACACCAGUGGCGAAGGCGACUUACUGGGCCGUAACUGACGUUGAUGCGCGAAAGCGUGGGGAGCGAACAGGAUUAGAUACCCUGGUAGUCCACGCGGUAAACGAUGAGUGCUAGGUGUAGCGGGUAUCGACCCCUGCUGUGCCGGAGUUAACACAAUAAGCACUCCGCCUGGGAGUACGGCCGCAAGGUUGAAACUCAAAGGAAUUGACGGGGCCCGCACAAGCAGCGGAGCAUGUGGUUUAAUUCGAAGCAACGCGAAGAACCUUACCAGGUCUUGACAUCGAGGCAAGCGUAGAGGAUACGGUGUCAGCAUGAAGCCAGACAGUGGUGCAUAUUGUCGUCAGCCUCGUUUCUGAAUGUUGAUAG
rnacentral:rRNA from 1 species